rnacentral:rRNA from 1 species
AUUGAACGCUGGCGGCAGGCCUAACACAUGCAAGUCGAGCGGUAGCACAGAGAGCUUGCUCUCGGGUGACGAGCGGCGGACGGGUGAGUAAUGUCUGGGAAACUGCCUGAUGGAGGGGGAUAACUACUGGAAACGGUAGCUAAUACCGCAUAAUGUCGCAAGACCAAAGUGGGGGACCUUCGGGCCUCAUGCCAUCAGAUGUUCCCAGAUGGGAUUAGCUAGUAGGUGGGGUACCGGCUCACCUAGGCGACGAUCCCUAGCUGGUCUGGGAGGAUGACCGGCCACACUGGAACUGGGACAAGGUCCCGACUCCUACGGGAGGCAGCAGUGGGGAAUAUUGCACAAUGGGCGCAAGCCUGAUGCAGCCAUGCCGCGUGUGUGAAGAAGGACUUCGGGUGGUAAAGCACUUUCAGCGGGGAGGAAGGCGGUGAGGUUAAUAACCUCAUCGAUUGACGUUACCCGCAGAAGAAGCACCGGCUAACUCCGUGCCAGCAGCCGCAGUAA